rnacentral:lncRNA from 1 species
AUGGAAUAUCUGACAAUAUUUAUCAGAUGGUGCUGUAUCCCUCUACAGCACAUCAACUUUAUCACGGAGGAGAUUGCAAAUUGGCACGUGAGCAGGUGGACAUUUGAAGCUCGACAUCUGACAGUGAUCUGCGUUCAAGUGGCAAGUAACUAUGCUGUGACAUACAAACGACGGCUAAUGAGUCAAAUUAAGAACAUGUGGGUAGAAUCGAGCCAUAACUUGAUGGACACUGGAUUUCUUGAGACAUUGUUGAAGGAUAAGGCUAUGUUGCACAUGUACGUGAACAUCUUUGCUGCCAUGCAUACAAACGUCACAUCAGGAGGCACCUUCUACCAACAUGUUGAUAAAAUUGAGACACUGGUGAAUGGGCACAAUUGGACCAUCAACACAGAUCUGACCAUUGCAGAUGAGAGGACAAUGUAUCUGAUGUGCUGUCGACAUGAACCCCAUGAAGUAACGGUGUUGGUGUCUCAGUCUAAGACCAAGACCAAGAUGAUAUCAGUGCGAUGUGAACAGCCUCAGAGAAUCUACGACCUAAUGAAGAAGUAUGGUGUGAAAUGCUCCAAUGUCUGGGAUUCCACAGUGUGUCUGUCAGCUAAGUCUCCUUGCACAGCCCUGAAGGAUUACAAUAUGACCAUCGUUAAUGUCAACAGUAUCCUAGACAAUGAUGAAUUUCAUGAAGAACCUGACAUUGUAUGUUUUUACCACAACAUGAGAAGUAUCCGAAUGCAAGCCAAGUGCAGCGCAUUCAGACACCAUCCCUACACUGCUGUGCAACCAUUGUCCAGUGUGAACCUGGGAAGCGAGGUUGACUGUAUUCCGGUUGCCCUGUACUACUGUGAUGAAGUGUCAACACUCAGCGAUGUCAUCAAGGCGGAUGGUCGAUUCCUCUCAUCUGUCCAGUGUCGGGGUCAACAAUUGGGUGAGGUUACAGACAAAUAUGUUGCACAAGUGUUACACGACACCUCCCUCAUCCUUCAGGGUAAGAACAUCAGUCUACAUUAUAAUUUAUUAUGA